rnacentral:rRNA from 1 species
UGAACCGCAUGGUUCAGACAUAAAAGGUGGCUUCGGCUACCACUUACAGAUGGACCCGCGGCGCAUUAGCUAGUUGGUGAGGUAACGGCUCACCAAGGCGACGAUGCGUAGCCGACCUGAGAGGGUGAUCGGCCACACUGGGACUGAGACACGGCCCAGACUCCUACGGGAGGCAGCAGUAGGGAAUCUUCCGCAAUGGACGAAAGUCUGACGGAGCAACGCCGCGUGAGUGAUGAAGGUUUUCGGAUCGUAAAGCUCUGUUGUUAGGGAAGAACAAGUGCCGUUCAAAUAGGGCGGCACCUUGACGGUACCUAACCAGAAAGCCACGGCUAACUACGUG